AAUCCAACCCUAAUACUGCCAUAACUGGAACUGAUUUCAUUUCCAAUAACCAAAUUCCUCAAAUCGAUUUUGCCACUCUUCAUAUUUACCCUGAACAAUGGCUACCAUGGGAAAAAGCAAGUGAAAGCGAGCAGAAUGCUUUCGUGGACAACUGGAUCAAAGUCCAUACUCAAGAUUGCAAUUCAGUGAUCAGAAAA